GCCGGCGUAGCUCACCGGGCCAGAGCACCGACCUUCUAACUCGGAGGCAGCCGGUUCGAGUGCGGCCGCCGGCU
rnacentral:tRNA from 2 species